rnacentral:rRNA from 2 species
UUUGCCCCWAGUACGGCGAGUGAAGCGGCAACAGCUCAAAUUUGAAAUCUGGCGCAAGCCCGAGUUGUAAUUUGUARAGGAUGCUUCUGGCCAGCGGCCGUUCUAAGUUCCUUGGAACAGGACGUCAUAGAGGGUGAGAAUCCCGUAUGUGACCGGCGCGCAGCCUUUACGUAGCUCCUUCGACGAGUCGAGUUGUUUGGGAAUGCAGCUCUAAAUGGGAGGUAAAUUUCUUCUAAAGCUAAAUACCGGCCAGAGACCGAUAGCGCACAAGUAGAGUGAUCGAAAGAUGAAAAGCACUUUGGAAAGAGAGUUAAAAAGCACGUGAAAUUGUUGAAAGGGAAGCGCUUGCAACCAGACUUCGUAGCGAUGUUCCGCCGGUCUUCUGACCGGUCUACUCAUCGUCGCGAGGCCAACAUCGUCUGGGGCCGCCGGAUAAGACCUAAGGAAUGUAGCUUCCCUCGGGAAGUGUUAUAGCCUUUGGUGAUGCGGCGCGUCUCGGGCGAGGUCCGCGCUUCGGCAAGGAUGUUGGCGUAAUGGUUGUCAGCGGCCCGUCUUGAAACACGGACCCA